CCUGGUGUCUCUAGCGCAAUGGCACCACUUCGACUCCAUCCCGAACUCGAAAGUGAAACGUUGCCGCGGCGAAGAUACUUGUUGGGUAGCUAACUGGGACAAUAGCUCGAUGCCAGGA
rnacentral:rRNA from 1 species